rnacentral:rRNA from 1 species
AUGGAAGAAGAAAUUGAUGAAACUGUGAGCUCAUUGGAUGAAAAAGAUGAGGAGGGGAGCGAAGAACGAAAGGAGGAAGAGUGGAUUAGCUACCCGUGCCCACCUUCUAAUGAGAGUAACUCUUCAACUCAUACAUUGUUUAAUUUCCCUUCGUGCUUACCGGAGGAUGAUUGCUAUGAUGAUUGUUAUGAUCCCGUUGAUUCUUUUGAAAUAUCCCUUUUUGAUGAUGCUUGCUAUGCUUGUGGCCAAGAUGCCAAUACGAAUUAUGCUUAUGGAGAUGAACUUGCUAUAGUUCCUUAUGUUAAACAUGAAAUUGUUUCUAUUGCACCCACACAUGAUAGUCCUAUUAUAUUUUUGAAUUCUCCAAACUACACUAUAUCGGAGAAGUUUGCACUUAUUAAGGAUUAUAUUGAUGGGUUGUGUAUUACUAUUACACAUGAUGAUUGUGAUGAAUAUAAUAUGCAUGUGCUUGCUGCUCCUACUUGCAAUUAUUAUGAGAGAGUAACUAUAUCUCCACCUCUCUAUGUUUCCAAUACGAUAAAAUUGCAAGAAACUGUUUAUACUAUGCAUUGGCCUUUACUUUGUGUGCAUGAAUUGUUCUUUUAUGACAUGCCUAUGCAUAGGAAGAGAGUUAGACUUGGUUGUUGCAUGAUAUAUGUUACUUUGUGCUCACUACUAAAUUACAAAUCAUUGCUAAUUAAAAUUGACUUUGAUAUACCUUGGGAUCCGGGUGGAUCCAUUACUUGA